ensembl:lncRNA
GGCACUCAUCUGUGAAGUUAGCUGGAGCAAAGCCACGGAUUCAUCACACUCGGGCUCUGCCAGCUUUAGUCCAAGGCAUCCUGCUGUCUCCCAUCUGCUGUGUGAGCACUUGGAUCUCACAAUUGCCACAUUGCCAUUUGUUGCAAUGUUUUGGGUCAUAGUGUCCUUGCUCUAAGGCCGUGUUUUUUUCUGAUUCCUCCUGGUGGGCACAGAUGAAGGUGCCAUGGGAACCAUGCCCUGAAUGAGGCGGGACCCCUGAUGCUGAGUGCAAGUUUGGCCUUCAGUGCCCGUCCUCGCGCCCUGUUUUCCCUUGGAGAGUGGGCUGCAGAGACCUGAACAUGACAGGCCCCAUCCCAGUUCUGUGAUGACCACAAGGCCACCCCGAGCAGGUCUCCAACCAGCUUGGAUGCUGAGGGAGCUGAAGGUAGCUGCAUGGCUGGCUCCUUCCUGUGGCCUCAGGUCAGGCUCCUGUGCUGAGGGAGGCUGUGGGUGCCCAGAUGCUGCCUCCCACCUGGGACAGGACAGGACUUGGCUGAUCCAGGGAAACUCUGCUCCUUCUGGUCUCCCCUGGAAACUUCUGCCCAGCAGGGCUGCCCUCUGCCGCCACUCUGGCCUUGGCCCUCACAUCUGCCAGGAAAGCGCCUGGACUCAGAGAAACCUGGAUUCUGAAUGCAGCCCCUGCCGGGUCUUGCAUGGUUCAUUUCUGAGAUCUUCAGCCUCAGCCUUCUCCUCCCCCUCCUCUGUGUCUUGAGGCCCAGGGACAGUCUGAGAGCGGGGUAGAGAGCUGACAGGGCAAGAAGCCCGAAGAACCAGCAUUUACCAGAUGCCGCUCAUUAAAUGCUGACUUCAAAGGCCAGCUGGGCCACCUGCUGGCUGUGUGCUCUUGGGCAAGUUUAACUAACCUCGUUGUGCCUCUGUUCUCCUCCCCAGAGGGUGAUAAUAGGGGAACUGACUCCACUAAUGAAAUGUGCUGUGGUCGGUUGGGGACGGGGUCUCUACUGAUCUCCAUGCAAAGACCCUGGGGAGCAUUGGGGGUUCUGGGUGAGCU